AACAAAUUGAAAUAGAUUUAGUUUGCUGUAAUUUGCUUCAGAAAACUGUUUACAUUGUGAUGCAUGGCUUAUCUAUGAAACUUAAGCCAAUGCUUACCACAGCUGAACUCAUCAUUAAUUUGUUACUUUUCCAUAGAAAUAGCAGUUAAUUCAUCUCAGCACUGCAAGAAGUGCUUGCUCAGGAAUUCAAGAACUAAACAUUUGAAGAUAAUUGAAAUCUAUCAAGAAGGUACGAAUUUCCAUCGGAGCAAGUUCCACAGCCAACUUGGCAGGAUCUACAUGUCCUCCCCUCAUCACCCUACGUUCUUCCGUGGAGCCUGCUACUUUCCAAACCAACCUCUUCUUCUCCAUGUCAGCUCUUUCUUGGUUGGCUGACAAACUCAACUCUGUCACUUUACUUAUCUUCUUGUUUGGAAACAGCUUUUUCAAUUCCACACUUGCAACCACAGAAUAGUCUUUGUCUUCUUCAAUCUUUGCAUACAUCAAAUGCCACCCAAAAACAAGUUAAAUUACAUGGUAUGGUGGUAAAAUGAGCGCAGCACAAAACUAAAAUGAUUAAUGGGAUUAUUUUAAAGCAAAAACUGUUUUCUAUUAGCAAUGUUAAUUGUUAAGAGAGUAAAGUCUCUGGUGACAUUCAAAUUGAAGCGUAAUAUUUCUUAAUUCUUUGAAGAAAAAAAGGACGGCACUUGAGUUCUAGGACAUGAACGUGCAGCCUCUCAGCCAGUAGGCAGUAGCCAUCUCUGUUGCAUAAGCUUUUCUUGAAAAUGUUCGGAACAGAUUAUAGAAAUCUAAGGCUGGACGAAAAAGACACUUCUUCUGAGGCAAAGUAUCCUGGGGCUACUCUAGUUAGCUAAUUGCAGAGUGCAAUGCACAUCAAGACAAAU
rnacentral:misc_RNA from 1 species